GGAGUUCAGUCUUCCCAGGCCCACCACUUUCAUCGAGUGAGCAUUCGUCUUCUGGUUACGGGGCCAUAGCUCAGCUGGGAGAGCGCGUGCUUUGCAAGCAUGAGGUCGUCGGUUCGAUCCCGUCUGGCUCCACCAGAUGGUUUGAUCACCGAGAUCUUGUACCGUCGUCCGCGAAACAUCACUUCGCAUCCUGCUAGUCUGGAUAGACAGCAAGAUGCGUGUUUUCUGACAUCGUAAAGAGGAGAUCGAUCCGAGUUGGGUCGUGCAGCGGAUUGUUGCGCGAAUCCUUCAUUAUCUCCGGAUCAUUUUCGGCGCUCGCUUUCAGCCGUGAGGUUGAAUGCGAGUUGUAAAAUGAUCCUUUUAGCGAAGCUUGACCGCCUCGCUAUCGGAACGAUCUUACGAAGCAAGCUGGUCUUUCUAGUCAAUGUCCGGCUGUGCGUAGCGUUCAUCGAGGGCGCGUGCCGUAAGGCAAUCGUACAGACAACAUUCUGCCGAGUGUGUGGACAUUGAUAAUGAGAGCAAUCAAGUGCCUUAAGGGUGUUCGGUGGAUGCCUUGGCGCUGAGAGGCGAUGAAGGACGUGCUACGCUGCGAUAAGCCGUGGGGAGCUGCGAAGAAGCUUUGAUCCGCGGAUUUCCGUG
rnacentral:misc_RNA from 1 species